UAAAAAUGGCAUGAGGUGUGCAAUUUACUCAGAGGGCAGUGAGGCACUGGUACAGGCUGCCCAGAGGAGCUGUGGGUGCCCCAUCCCUGGUCUCUUUCAAUCCAAGCAGUUCUGUGAUAGUAUGAUGCAAAAGUGAAGUAAUAGAAGAAAUAUGCCAACACAACUGCAUUAGCUAAACCAAGGAUAUUGACAGAUACUGCAAAGGGAUCAUGCACUUAAACUGCCACAAGCAAAGGAAAGAUGUCUCUAUCUGACACCAUGAACAUCUUUUCAGGAUAGGUUGGGGCUUUUCCCACUAGGAGGAAUACAGCCACUGUAACUGUAAAUGUGCUAUUGAAGGAGAUUGUCCAUAGAUUUGGAACAGCAGUUGAGAUAGGAUGAGAUAAAGGAGUUUUUUAUAAGUGAAGUAACUCAAGUCUUAUGAGUAACCAGGAGAUUAAACAAAGUCUCAAUAUACACUACCACUUGCAAUCUUCCAGACUGGCAAAAAAAAAUGAGUCAGAGUAUCAAAAAUAGGAUAAAGUUAAUUGUAGGGCAAUAUCCAAAAUGAUGGACUGAAAAAUUACUCUUGAUCUUAGUAGGAUUGAGAAGCAGUGACAAAUGAGGGACUGGUUUACAACAGUACCAUGUUUUGUUUGGCUAGUGUGUUCCUUGGUGGCUCAGUGUCCAAGACUCUAAAAUACUGAGGCAAGAUAAGGCAGAAAUAAGGCUCAAAAGCAAGGUGAGAAGAAUAGGGAAGCUGAGAAUGAAUAAUAAAAUUCAUACAUUGAUUAUGAAGGGUCAAAUAAUAUAUCUGAAAUUGGAUAGAAAGAAACAAGCCUUAGAGACAAAGUGGAAGGGGACCUAUUAUGUUACUAAUAGGAUAAAUCCUCUAAGAUAUUAAGUAGAUGAGGGCAAUGGUAAAUACAAAUGGGUUCAUGUUUCUCCAGUGUCUCCCUAAGAGGCCAAGUCAUUCUGGAAUUUGACAUGGAUUUGCCAAGAGCACGGACACGGAAAGCCCCCCCAGCACUCAGCCUGCUCGGUGAGCCCAACCCUGUCCCAGUUCAGGAGUAAGGGACUGCCACUCACUUGUGCUGGCGUGCGUAGCUGCAGCAAAUCUGUUUAUGUGCUUGCGUACGAACAGUGCUGGUUUAUGCCUUGAGCUUUGCUUAUUUUCUAUUUUUGUAGGGCAACAGAUUUUACUACAGCCCCACGAGCAAGCAGCAGCUGAGAGAGUCAUGGUGCAGCGAUGCAAACUCCGAAGCAAAGCGGAGGAGUUGAGGUCUCCGGCAGUUUGCAAGAAUUUUUAACUUGGCUCCUCACUCCAUAUUAACAGCUUUGUUCUUUUUAUAUAUUGCAUUAAUUAUAGACAUUUAACAAGGCAGAAAAUGACUGUGAAGUGCCUUGGAGAAUCCAAGGCGAUCACCCUCAGACCUUUAUGGGCUUUGAGGCCAAACCAGCGUCCUUUUCUUAGUGAUAUGUCUAACCUGUGACCUAGCCUGCCUUAGCGUCGAUUACCUUGCUGCAGCUUCUUAAUGUGAUAGUAAUAACUUAAGAUCCCAAAUUAAAAAUUGUUACAGCUCUUAAGGGAACCUUGAGAGUUACAGCUCAAAGAUCUGGAUCCACCCAGAUUGGGAAAUCAUAGCUGAAGCUUUGGAAAAAUGUUCUAAAAUUACAACAGCUGAAUGAAGUAGGUAGUUUUGUUCAUUUACGGGACAAUUCUCCAAGGAGGACUAACUCGAGGAGAAACAGAUUUCUGUAAUGCUCUUUUGAGCAAGUGCCUGAGUGUGGAGGAAUUCAGGAGGGGGUCAAAUAAGAGAGGAAGCAGAAAGGAUGCUUGAAGCGAAUGGGAGACUGUGCUGUUAGCAGCUAACUAGAUACAAUUUGAGAGAACUGAGGGUUAAAUAUACCUAUACAAAAAUCUGAAAUGGGAAAUAUGUAUUGAAUUGUAAGGUAUUAUGACUGAGCGACAGCAGAGGUAACACAGAAGGGUGAUAGCAUUUGUAAGUAGUGGAACAUACCUAGCCAAUAACCAAAAUUAUCCACUGGGCCAUGAAUUUCUUUAAAGAAUAAAUGAUAAAAAUCCAUAUACAGAGGAUAAGAAUGCUAGAAGUCUGUACAUAAAUGUUACUAUUGAUUGUGCAAACAACUACUCUUACUUUCCCAACCUGUUGUCCCCCUAACUGUUGUGCUGCCUCCGCACAUCCCAAGCCUAGCUCUGAUACUGCCCAGCUGCAUAACCUUGGGCCACAUUCUGAGCAAACUGCUCAGCCAUGAGACAGCUGGCAAGAAGAUAAGAAGGGCAGAAACAGAGGGAGUAAAACUGAGAGCUUUGAGCCAGAGCAAGUGAUUUAUAUCAACAGUGAAAGCUAGAUGAGACCGGACUUGAGGACCCUAAUUGCAUGCUACCUUCCUCAGAAGUGAACAGUAAUAGAAUUAGUCAUGCUUCUGAGCCACAUCAGGUGACAAUGAUAUUGGGCUAUGUAAGAACAAGGUGAUGCUGUAUUUGUGCAAUACUGGAGAAGUGAAAGCCUGUGAAAUUCUCCCACAGGACUUGAGUGCCAGAACCGAUAAACUCAAGCACCAAGGCUGCCCAAGGCCACCAGCACACAUGAGCAUCAACAGCUGUGGCUGUAAGCUGCAGUAGCUGAGCUACUGAACACCAACAGCCCAGCUGGUUGUGAUCUGUGUCCCUCCCCUCAUCAAGAAAAUUGCUGCCCAGGUGGGGCUAGGAGGGUGAGAAGUGGGAGGCAUUAGGAGUCAAUUGAAGCUGACAAAAGGGGCUGCCACAGUCUCAGGUGUGGGAGCUUUUAAAAGAGUGUUUGGAGGCUCUGCUUCUGGUCUUGGGAUUGUCCUAUGAUGCUUGAGUUGGGGGGGGAGAAUGCAGGGCCAACUGGAGCCUGAACCUGAGUGACAACCCUGACUUCUCCUGGCACAGACUUUAUCACCAGAUGUACAUGGCUAAGUGCUCAUGAAGGUCAUGGUGAAAACACAGCAAGAGGAAGGUUUCUCUUAUUCGGAUCCAAGCCCUUAUGUCUGUACACCUGACAAGGUUGCACACUCCUUUCCAGCACAUCCAGUGGACCCAAAUUCCCGCAACCCUUUCACCCAAGGUCCCGCUUCCCAUCAAACACAACACAGCAGCCCUGCCUGCCCAAUUGCCAAACUCUCACCCCUUUGCCAGGCAGAGCCAGCAUCCCAAGUACUGAUCUGACAAAGCAGCCUGGAAAAUCCCUGUUUUUGAAGAACCACAGGAAGAAUGCAAAUGUAUCACCCAUGGCAAGAUUCAUGUCUCCCGGCAGGCUUAAGAGGAUGACUCAUCAAAGCCUUGUGCUUGUCUUCUGGAUCUUCAAAGUGUAUCAACAGUGUUUUAUUGAUCCAUAGUCAUGGAAAGUAAAGAAAGAAGAGUCUGAGAUCUACACUGGUACGAUAUGUCUGACUUCAGUAAUUCUACCAUUAAGCUACUGGGUUGACACCGUGGAACAAAGGGUCUACAGUAUGGUAUUUCCUGUUCUCCCAGUGGUAGGACAGUUCUCUACAAAUACAGAUACUUUAAUCCAUUGGAGAAGAGAAUACAUCAGUAGCUGAAAGUUAGGUAAAGAAUAAAAGUUCAAGUUAGUAGUAAGAGAUGGAUUUUUUUAAUAGUGAGAGUGAGCAAACCCGCUGAGCAUUCAGGAAGCCAUAUUCCCCCUUGUUUAAAGUUUCCUGAGCAGAAUGGGUUAUUUCACUUGAAGAUAGUGCCUAUCAGACACAGAGACAGGACAGUAAGACUAAUGGGGAUUGUACACCAACAUGCUGCAGGAGAUAUGGAGGAGAUACAGUUGUGACAUCUGUGACCCGCAACCACAAAGCACAGAGCUGGAGCAGCAGUGCCUGCUGUCCCCAGUCAGGAUGGCAUGACAGACCCCUGCUAUUUCCCACCAUCACAGGAUGGCUGAGGUUCUUCUGCCCUCCACCUAAACAAGAGCUGGCCUUUGAAACGUGACAUUUUUAUUGAGAAAAGAUGGGUUCAAACAACCCCACACCAUCCCUGCAGAGGAAGACUAACUUUCUCACAUGUACCUACUGGGAAAAUGUGUGUUUCUGCAUCACGUAAUGCAGUGGAAAUUAUGAGAUUUAAGUGCUCAUCCUUUCCCCUUUCUCACGCUCGUGGGGGCAGUGUCUGUGUCAAGAGAGUUAACAGUAUGUUCACUGAUUUAAUUUACAUUAAGGACGUGCUAGAUUGCAACAAGCUGUGCUUUUAAAAGAGGAAAGGAGUCAGAGACAGAAUAGGAACCUAGAAAAAACCUCCUCAUUCUUACACCCCAAACAGCACCAGAAGCAAAUAAAUGCCUUCUGGGGGACGAGCUUACAUUCAAUUUUCUCCUUUUUCUCAUAUUGCUUCCCUGCUUCUCCCAUUGGUUUGCCUUUGCCUGCUUACGUCUGACCUGCAGUCCCAGAAGCCUGGCUGUAGCCUGAGGGGAUUUGCCUUGUGCCUUAAGUGGGAUAGCAUUUGGUUUUCCUUAUCAGUCACCAGUAGGGCCAUGUGUUUUGUCUCUGCUCCCCCUCCCUGCAAAUGUGUGGUUGAGGGCAACAAGAGACAAGGGGUCCUUGUAAGUGACUUAUGAUAAUUGCAGAGCAGCAACUGCUCUGAAAAUCUAAAUUCCUCCCUGACAUUUCCAGUCUAAAGCUCCCACUGACUCAGCUGCUGCUUGUGAUAUUUAAACAAGGAUUAUCUCCUUUUUUAUUCUUUUCUUUUUGAUAAUGGGAUGGCAGAAGGUUAUUUUAACACUUUCCUACAGUUUGUUUGGCUGAUACAGAACCAGCAGUCUUCAGGAUGUAACCACAUCUCCGCUUCCCAAGUCACUCAUUUAGCAUGACUGGGAUGAAUGAAGGCUCCCAUGAUUUAAAAAAAAAUAAAAGAAGAAGAAGGAUCUUUCCCCGAAUUGUCAUCUUUUCCAUUUUUUUCCUUUAGCAUAAGUUUGUUAUGCUGGAAAAUUUACUACUUUGGGUGUAAAAAGAUUUAUCCCUUUGGCUUCAGCACAACUGCUCCAGGCUCAUCCUAUCUAAGACCUCAGGUAUUGCACUUAAUGGUAGUUUUUUGCUACAAAUAUUGAUUAUAUUUUGUAGGAAUGCUGAACAGCAUCUCCAAAAACGAACCCUAUAGAAAGCUCAGGGCGUUUUUUGAUUCCUGAGAAAAUAAGUGCAUAAGCAUGGGGGGAGAACAUCUGCUAAAGGAAGCUGAAAUGUGGUCUUCAAGACUGCAUCAAAAUAACUGGCAAAUGUCCUUCUCACCCUGUCUCCAAGUGCCUUAACAUUCUCUCUAGCUGGGAGAAACAUGAGGGAAGGCACAGGCAGAUAAGAGAACCAGAGCAGAAGGAGACACAGAAAGCUGAGGGAUGUGUGCUGGGAAAGAGAAAAGAAGGAGAGAUGCAGAUGGGGGAGAAAACAAGGAAAGUCAUAAAAAGUUACCAGAGCAAAAAACCUUUGAAUAUUUGAGUUUGUGAGCUGAUGAGCUGAAGGACCUUCAAAAUGCACAAUUUUCAUCCACUUCCCAAGACAAAUGACUCCUGUAUGACAUUCUCUGCCUAUGUACUUUUCUAUGACCAAGUAUCCUUGAGAAAUUUCUUUUUCCUCCGUGUUUAUCCCUUAUGUCUAGCUGCUGUCUCUACUGCAGAUUUGGCAGCUCUGUGAGAAAGGGACCAAGGCUCUCCAUCAUUUCAGAAGCCGCCUGACAAGCAAGGGACAGCACUGCAAUCAAGGAAAAUCAAAGAGCAGAAACUCACAUCUGCUAUUCUAGACUUCAAAAGGGCAUCCAAAAUGCAGAAAGUCAGUCCCCAUCAUGACAUAACAAGCAUCCAGUCCCAAGUGUUGGCUCAUCCAGAGCAAGGUCACCAUGCCCUGGAAGCUGAUCCAAGGUGGCCACCCAGGACACAUAGGCUCUGGGAUG